GGACCUGUGGCGCAGUGGUAGCGUAUCUGAUUCCAGUCUGAUCUCUACAGAUGAAAUUGGGAUCUCCAGAUGGUCAUCCGUUCAAAUCGGGUCAGGUUCA